rnacentral:rRNA from 1 species
CCCUUAGAUGUUCUGGGCCGCACGCGUGCUACACUGAGUGGAUCAGCGGGUCAGGUUGCGCGAAAGUGUUUCCUAAUCUUUAAACCCGCUCGUGAUGGGGAUUGACGGUUGCAAUUUUCCGUCAUGAACGAGGAAUACCUUGUAAGCGCGGGUCAUCAUCCCGCGCUGAAUACGUCCCUGCCCUUUGUACACACCGCCCGUCGCUCCUACCGAUUGAGUGGUCCGGUGAGGCUUUGGGAUCUGAGCGGAAAGAGCGUUUCGCUGUUUCUGCCCGGAAAACUCAGUCGAACCUUAUCAUUUAGAGGAAGGAGAAGUCGUAACA